CAGUAGCCACGGUAAUACGUAGGUGGCAAGCGUUGUCCGGAACUAUUGGGCGUAAAGGGCUCGCAGGCGGUUUCUUAAGUCUGAUGUGAAAGCCCCCGGCUCAACCGGGGAGGGUCAUUGGAAACUGGGAAACUUGAGUGCAGAAGAGGAGAGUGGAAUUCCACGUGUAGCGGUGAAAUGCGUAGAGAUGUGGAGGAACACCAGUGGCGAAGGCGACUCUCUGGUCUGUAACUGACGCUGAGGAGCGAAAGCGUGGGGAGCGAACAGGAUUAGAUACCCCAGUAGUCCCUGUCUCUUAUAC
rnacentral:rRNA from 1 species